rnacentral:rRNA from 1 species
AGUGAACGCUGGCGGUAGGCCUAACACAUGCAAGUCGAACGGCAGCACAGUAAGAGCUUGCUCUUACGGGUGGCGAGUGGCGGACGGGUGAGGAAUACAUCGGAAUCUACUUUUUCGUGGGGGAUAACGUAGGGAGACUUACGCUAAUACCGCAUACGACCUACGGGUGAAAGCAGGGGAUCUUCGGACCUUGCGCGAUUGAAUGAGCCGAUGUCGGAUUAGCUAGUUGGCGGGGUAAAUGCCCACCAAGGCGACGAUCCGUAGCUGGUCUGAGUGGAUGAUCAGCGACACUGGAACUGGGACACGGUCCAGACUCCUAAGGGAGGCAGCAGUGGGGAAUAUUGGACAAUGGGCGCAAGCCUGAUCCAGCCAUACCGCGUGGGUGAAGAAGGCCUUCGGGUUGUAAAGCCCUUUUGUUGGGAAAGAAAAGCAGCAGGUUAAUACCCCGCUGUUCUGACGGUACCCAAAGAAUAAGCACCGGCUAACUUCGUG